UCAACCUUUCGAGCUCUUUCUUCGAAGUGGGGAUUCGCUCCUCUCUCUCUCUCUCUCUCAUCCCUCUUGCGUUCUCCCCUUUCGAAGGCGAGGGGUGCUUCUUUAGUCGUCGAAUCGAAGGCGGAUUUGCACUUCUUCCGAUCGUUCUCCGCAGCUGAUGGGUUCCAGAGUUGUUCCUUUCAGUAAUCCUCGAAACUCUCCUGAUGGAGUUCUCGGAAGACUUGGAUCUCAAGAUACAAGUGGGUUGGUUCUAAAUGGAGAAAGAUCUCUGCUGAUUAGCCAUGAACAGAAUGGCGGUGUAGUUCCCGUAACAAGUCCAUUAGUCAGUGGAAGAAGAGAUAUCAGCAGGUCGAUGGCUGGAUUAAAAUCUUUUCGUGAUGUUGAGAUAGACUUGGAAGAUGGUAAAGUUGAGAAAGAUAGGGAUAAUAUUUUACGUGGCUACAAACCUAUAAAGCUACGUAAUCAAGCUCUUCUUUCUGGUCUUGCAUACUGCAUAUCAUCAUGCAGCAUGAUACUUGUAAACAAGUUUGUGCUGUCAGGCUAUGAUUUUAGUGCUGGAAUAUCGUUAAUGCUUUACCAGAAUCUUGUUUCAGUAAUUGUAGUUUCCAUUUUGAGUUCAUCAGGUGUAAUAUCAACAGAACCUCUCACAUGGAAACUAAUCAGAGUCUGGUUGCCGGUGAAUGUUAUAUUUGUUGGGAUGCUUAUCACAAGCAUGUUUAGCUUAAAAUACAUCAAUGUUGCCAUGGUAACAGUUCUUAAGAAUGUCACUAAUGUCAUUACUGCUCUGGGGGAAACAUAUCUUUUCAUGAAACAUCACGACAAAAAAGUGUGGACAGCCCUGUUCCUAAUGAUAAUUUCUGCGAUUUCUGGAGGGGCAACUGAUCUCUCCUUUCAUGCAACUGGCUAUGCAUGGCAGAUCAUAAAUUGUUUUCUGACAGCAUCAUAUUCGUUAACACUACGACGAGUCAUGGAUACUGCAAAGCAAGUCACUAAAUCUGGAAACUUGAAUGAAUUUUCGAUGGUUUUGCUCAAUAACACUCUUUCUCUGCCUUUGGGACUUUUGCUUAUAUUUGCUUUCAAUGAGGUGGACUAUCUCUAUAAAACGAAGGAGGUGAUAUCUUAUGAAUUCCUAGUGAAUUGGCAGGCCACUUUUGAAGAUGCCUAUGUUCUGGUUGGUGAUAACUUCAAGUGGUUUUUUGGGCCUUGCUAUCAGCUUCACAUCAAUGUGGUUUCUUCAUCAGACGGGUGCAACUACAUAUAGCCUUGUAGGAUCACUCAAUAAGAUUCCUCUUUCGAUUGCUGGGAUCAUUCUCUUCAAAGUUCCAACCAGCAUGGAGAAUUUCUUGAGCAUUCUUUUUGGCCUCUUAGCAGGUGUAUUGUUUGCAAAAGCAAAAAUGCGGGAUGGAUCUCAGUCCUGAGGCAGUAAAAGAUGCUCGUCGGACCACAACUUAGAUUUGAAAAAGAAUUAUGGACAAUUCAAUUAGCGGAGAUGCAACUCAUAUGACAUGAAGUGUUAGUGGAACCGAGGACAUUAUUGAUAACAGGGAACGGAUACAUAGUACAAAGUUCGAUACCACUGAAACCUCCUUAUCCAAGGUUAAAACAUUUUGCAUCGAGGAAAAAGGAAUUUCACUUUCCUGGAGGUAUACAUGGUAGAUAAAUGGGCAUUGGUACAGAAAUUCUUGGCUACCUACCUCUGCCAAUAUAUAUGUAAUUUUUUUGGUGUUAGCUGAUUUGAAUAGGGAGCGCCAUUUCGCCUAGUGCCGAGCUCGAAGCCAAACAUCACGAUGCUACAUUAAUUAUUCUUUUUCAUAAAGAAUAUGCUUCAAUAAUUUUUAUCCUUUCAAGAAUAGUUGUUGGUACGAAGGCAUGUAUGUUGAAUCAAUAACUAAAUUGUCAUUCAGCAUAUAGAGCAGGACAAUGUUGAGAG